rnacentral:rRNA from 1 species
GUGAGUAGUUCAGAGUUUGAUCCUGGCUCAGGAUGAACGCUGGCGGCGUGCCUAACACAUGCAAGUCGAACGAAGCGCUUUGAAGUUUUCGGACAGAUGAGUGACUGAGUGGCGGACGGGUGAGUAACGCGUGGGUAACCUGCCUCAUACAGGGGGAUAACAGUUAGAAAUGACUGCUAAUACCGCAUAAGCGCACAGCAUCGCAUGAUGCAGUGUGAAAAGCCGAGACGGUAUGAGAUGGACCCGCGUCUGAUUAGCUAGUUGGUGGGGUAACGGCCCACCAAGGCGACGAUCAGUAGCCGACCUGAGAGGGUGACCGGCCACAUUGGGACUGAGACACGGCCCAA